GACUACUACAGCACUUUGUCUCUCCCCCCCUGCCCCCGCCAUGUCAGUCUGCUAUCCCAUCUCUGUUAAUAUGUUCUUUAUUGUCUUCCUACAGAACAACUCACCUUGGUGUUAUCUUGUGUUAGCUUCAACUAGGCAACUUUUGUAUCUGUAAAUUCAUAGUGUCAACUGUAUGCUUUUGUUCCCCCUAGUUUGCAUGAAGAUUUGUACUUAUCUAUGAAGUCUUUGUUUGUGUAUCAUGGACCAAAAUAUUACCACCCAUCAGAAAAUCCCAGCUGGGUAGAGAGACCAGGAAGCAUUCGUCAAGUUGUUCACAAUGGCUAUCCUCAACUGUGCAGCCAUAUUCUCAGGGAGAAACCCAGCUUGCCUCAAAUAUCAGAAUAUCAAACCUGCGUUUUUAACACAAGACAUCAAAAGCACCCCUCUCCCAGAACAAAAUCAGAAAGAGCAACGAUGUCUCAUCCUGUCACCAUGACUACUCUGCAAUUAUUGUGUCGUGUCGGGCAAGUUACAUACCUUUCCAGGUCCACAGACUCUCAGCUGUAAAUGGAAGUUGAAAAGCACUCUGGUGUUCUCUUCUUCAAUCUUCUUUGCCCUUUCCCUUCCGCACAGUUGUCAGUUGUGACUGCCUUAGCAAUAUGAGCCUGCCAUAAUCAAGUCCCAGUAUUCAUAAAGGCCAAAGUGAGGCCAUAUUAAUGACCUGCUGUAAACCUUCCAAUGGAUUCCCACUUACCAAAAUUAAAAUUUAAUUCCUUCCAGUGGCCUCACAACAUAAUCCUCUCCCCACUGUCUUUUCUCCUGACACCCGUCAUACCCCCAACUUGGAUUUUCUUCUUUCUGUUAGUUUUCGAGAGAUGUUACAACCAAGUAGCAUAGACUAGGUGGCUUGAACACUUCCAGCCCUUUCUCUGCUCAUGUCAUACUUUUGUGUCUUGACAUUUUGUGACAUAAACAUUUGUUUAAAGCCACCAACUUUCUAAGCCCUGCCCCAAUGGCACUGUGUUACUGUUGAUAUGCUAUGUCUUCAUUUUCAUUAGAAUCAGACCUUCUCAAACAUCUCUGAGAUUUCCUUCUUCCCCACAGGGUAAUUUCCAGGUACUUAGAGGGUAUCGUUUUUUCAAAUAUACAUUUCUGUUGCUGAAUUAAAGUUCACUUCUCUAAUAUUUAGAGAAUAUACCUUGUGUAUCAACUUUCUGAGACAUGUUUCGGGUGCAGAAUAUUAUCUGUCCUUUUGAGUGACUCUGUGCUCGCCUCAAGAAUGAGCACACCACUGUUAGCUGUGACACAUUUUGUCAGGUCAAAGUGGCUGACAGCAUUGUUCAAAUAUUUUCUACAUCCUCAGUUUCUUUCCUUUCUUAACCAGUCACUAAGAGUGGGGUGCCUAACCUCCCUACUUGAAGUGUUGGGACUAUAAAGUGUCAUUAUUAAUGCAGUCACCUCAAGCUUUCUUUAAAUGAAUACAUUUAUUCCUUAACAAUUUCAUACACUUGUGUAGUGAGUUUUAGUCAGUUCUAUCCCAUUAACCCCUCUCAUGCCCUCUCCCCACAGCUUUCUUCUGAUUAGUGUUCAUGUGGUAUGACUAUUGGCAUGUUUUUGUUAUUAGUUUUAGAUAUCUAUUUAUGAAGUGGUAUGUUUCAGAUAAUAAAUAGUUGACUACUAUCUUUUUAUCCA
rnacentral:lncRNA from 1 species